CCUACGGGGAGCUGCAGUGAGGAAUAUUGGUCAAUGGACGCAAGUCUGAACCAGCCAUGCCGCGUGCAGGAUGACGGCUCUAUGAGUUGUAAACUGCUUUUGUACGGGAGUAGUAUCAGAUUCGUGUAUCUGCUUGAAAGUAUCGUCCGAGUACGGAUAGGCUAACUCCGUGCCAGCAGCCGCGGUAAUACGGAGGAUCCUAGCGUUAUCCGGAUUUAUUGGGUUUAAGGGGUGCGUAGGCGGUGUUAUAAGUUAGAGGUGAAAAUUCGGGGCUCAACUCCGGACGUGCCUCUAAUACUGUAUGACUAGAGAAUAGAUGCGGUAGGCGGAAUGUAUGGUGUAGCGGUGAAAUGCGUAGAGAUCAUACAGAACACCGAUUGCGAAGGCAGCUUACUAAACUAUAUCUGACGUUGAGGCACGAAAGCGUGGGGAGCAAACAGGAUUAGAUACCCCAGUAGUC
rnacentral:rRNA from 1 species